rnacentral:rRNA from 1 species
UACGUAGGGGACUAGCGUUGUUCGGAAUUACUGGGCGUAAAGGGCGCGCAGGCGGCCCUCCAAGUCAGGCGUGAAAGCCCCGGGCUCAACCCGGGAAUAGCGCUUGAGACUGGGGGGCUUGAGUUCGGGAGAGGAGAGUGGAAUUCCCAGUGUAGAGGUGAAAUUCGUAGAUAUUGGGAAGAACACCGGUGGCGAAGGCGGCUCUCUGGACCGACACUGACGCUGAGGCGCGAAAGCGUGGGGAGCAAACAGG